rnacentral:rRNA from 1 species
GACGAACGCUGGCGGCGUGCUUAACACAUGCAAGUCGAACGCUGAAGCUCAGCUUUUGUUGGGUGGAUGAGUGGCGAACGGGUGAGUAACACGUGAGUAACCUGCCCCCUUCUUUGGGAUAACGCCCGGAAACGGGUGCUAAUACUGGAUAUUCACUGGUCUUCGCAUGGGGGUUGGUGGAAAGGGGUUUUCUGGUGGGGGAUGGGCUCGCGGCCUAUCAGCUUGUUGGUGGGGUGAUGGCCUACCAAGGCUUUGACGGGUAGCCGGCCUGAGAGGGUGACCGGUCACAUUGGGACUGAGAUACGGCCCAGACUCCUACGGGAGGCAGCAGUGGGGAAUAUUGCACAAUGGGCGCAAGCCUGAUGCAGCGACGCCGCGUGAGGGAUGGAGGCCUUCGGGUUGCGAACCUCUUUCGCUCAUGGUCAAGCCGCAACAAUGGUUGUGGUGAGGGUAGUGGGUAAAGAAGCGCCGGCUAACUACGUG